rnacentral:rRNA from 1 species
UACGAAGGGGGCUAGCGUUGUUCGGAAUUACUGGGCGUAAAGGGUGCGUAGGCGGUUUAUUAAGUCAGGUGUGAAAUCCCCAAGCUCAACUUGGGAACUGCAUUUGAUACUGGUAAGCUAGAGAUCGGAAGAGGUGAGUGGAAUUCCUAGUGUAGAGGUGAAAUUCGUAGAUAUUAGGAAGAACACCAGCGGCGAAGGCGGCUCACUGGUCCGAUACUGACGCUAAGGCACGAAAGCGUGGGGAGCAAACAGG